rnacentral:lncRNA from 1 species
UGAAUUUGGCGGAUGUCUUUUGCUUACGUUGUUUUUCCGAAGCCCGUAAGAAACAUUUCAGAAGAAACUUCAGAAAAUGUUCGAGAAUGAGGGCCAUUGAGAGUAAAACAGACAAUGGACAAGACAGAUUGUUUUACCUUGAACAAUAUACAAAGGGCCAAGCUAGGGAUCUAGUAAAAAGCUGUCAGCAUAUGGAUGGAGAUCAGGGUUAUCUCAGAGCCAAACGCUUAUUGCAUGAACAUUUCGGCAAUGAGUAUAACAUUUCCACCGCUUACAUUGAGAAAGCUCUUAGUUGGCCUAUCCUGAAGCCUGAAGACCCAAAGGCCUUGAAUGAGUAUGCUCUGUUUCUGAAAGGAUGCUGUAAUGCCAUGACAAAGCUGGAUUACAUGGAGGAACUGAAUGUUGCCUCUACCUUGAAAGCCUUAGUCAUGAAAUUACCCUUCAAGUUUAGGGAUAAGUGGAGGACUAAAGCUCAGGAGAAACUGGAUGGCAACAGCAAGAUUACAUUUGCAGAUCUUGUACAGUUCAUUGAGAAACAGGCAAAGAUAUGUUCCAACCCAGUAUUUGGAGAUAUCCAAGAGUCAGUUGCAAGUAGGAGUAAAAGGCCCGAGGUAAGCAAGCCCAUGUUUAGGCCCAAGGUUACUUAUGCAGCUAAUGUGGCAGCAGUAACCACUCCAGUGACUUCAAAUAUGGACAGUGAUGUCAAAUCCCCAUGCCUCUGCUGUGAUGGUGCUCACAGUCUAGAGCACUGCUCUGACUUCAAGAAGAAAACACACAGGGAAAAGUUGAAUCUUUUACAGGAAAAGGCACUCUGUUUUGGAUGCUUGCGUACAGGACACAGAAGCAAAGACUGCCAUGCAGGGCGUCUGUCAUGCAACAUCUGCAACCGAAUCCAUCCCAGUGUGCUUCACAUCAACUUCCAGGUCAAAGGUGAGACCAUAAAGUCAGCAGAGCCACCAGAGAACAUCAAAGAGGUGAAGUCCAAUGUUUGUCGGCAUAAUGGGGCCGGGAACUCUAAAUGUGCACUUUCAAUCUUACCUGUUCAAGUGAAGUCUGUGAAAGGCAACAGGAUCAUUCAAACUUAUGCUUUUCUCGAUCCGGGCAGUUCAGCAACAUUCUGCACGGAGAGGCUGGCGCAGAAAUUGAGCCUGGAAGGGAAACCAACAACUGUUUUGCUAAAAACAAUGUCACAAGAACGGCCUGUCAAGAGCACGUUGGUGUCAGGUCUAGAAGUGAGCGAACUCGAAGGCAACAACUUCCUUCCUUUACCUGAAGUCUUCACUCAAAGGUCUAUGCCGGUGACAAAGGACGACAUCCCAACACAGGCGGAUUUAAGGAAAUGGCCUUAUAUCAGUGAAGUCCAAUUACUCCAAAUAGACUCUGGCAUUGAUUUACUCAUUGGCAUGAAUGCAGCAAAUUUGAUGGAACCCUGGCAGGUGAUCAACUCACAAGAAGAUGGGCCCUAUGCUGUAAGAACCCUACUAGGAUGGGUAGUCAAUGGUCCAUUGGGAGGAUGCAGUAAAGGUGUGGACAAGGCCACCGUGACUGCUAAUAGGAUCUCCCUGGUUAACCUGCAAGAACUUCUGGUGAGUCAAUACAACACUGAUUUCAAUGAGAGAGUCUAUGAUGAAAAAAGUGAAAUGUCAGUAGAUGACAAGAAGUUCUUGAACAUUGCCAAUGCAUCUGUUAAAGUGAUAGAGGGUCACUACUGCAUUAACUUACCUUUUAAAGCUGAUAAGGUGACAAUGCCUAACAACCGUGUGAGUGCAGAGAGCUUCAUGAGAAAUCAAAGAUUGAUCUGUGGACCAGAGUUCCUCUGGUCAUCAGAAGAGGAUUGGCCAAAUGAACCAAUAGACAGGAGUCAGCUUUGUACGGAUGACCAAGAGGUCAGAAAAUCUGUAACAGUUAAUUCCAUCAUGCAGACAUGUGAGGAAAGGCCCACAGACAAGUUACUCAAUUACUUUUCAGAUUGGCUGAAGUUGAGAGUAGCUGUUGCAUGGAUAAUGAAGGUGAAGGAUGCAUUGAGGCACUUGGUGCAGAAAAGAAAGGACUCAAAGGACGACUGUAAGUAUCAAAGGGCAACCAGAAUAAACACAAGGUCUGUCAAGAUUAGCAUGAAAGAAUCAAUAACAGUUGAAGAUCUAAAAGGAGCAGAAAAUGCAAUACUUACCUAUGUGCAGAGACAAAGUUUCCCACAGGAAAUCAGCAUGCUGCAAGAGGGAGCAUCCUGUGUGAGAAAAGGCAGCAGCAUCUACAGACUGGAUCCGAUGCUGGAUGGUGGCAUUCUCAGAGUGGGUGGGCGUCUGAGGAGAUCAGCAAUGCCAGAGGAAAGGAAACACCCUGCCAUUCUGGCCAAAGACCACCACGUGUCCACUCUGAUCCUGCGCCACAUCCAUGCUCAAACUGGACAUGGAGGAAGGAACCAUAUGCUAUCCCAGGUACGAAAAACAUACUGGAUUGUAAAUGCAAACACUGCUGCACGGAAGGUUCUCUCUCACUGUGUGACUUGCAGAAAGAACAGAGGAAAACCUGGUGAACAAAAGAUGGCUGAUCUGCCAGGUGAAAGACUUGUCACAGACUUGCCACCAUUCACGAACGUUGGUCUUGACUACUUCGGCCCUUUUGAGGUGAGAAGGGGCAGGAGCAUGCUGAAAAGGUAUGGCGUCAUCUUUACCUGCAUGACCAGCCGAGCAGUACAUCUGGAGGUGGCCUGUUCUUUAACCACAGACUCGUGCAUCAAUGCCAUCAGACGUUUUUUGUGUCGAAGAGGCCCAGCACAACACAUGAGAUCCGAUCAUGGCACUAACCUUGUAGGUGCAGAGAGAGAGCUGAGAGAAGCACUUCAAGCCAUGGAACACAGAAAGAUCCAACAAACUCUAAGGAAGGAGGGAGUUCAGUGGAGCUUCAAUCCCCCCACUGCCUCUCACCAUGGUGGGUUCUGGGAACGCCUCAUCCGAAUGGUAAGGCAUGUCCUAUGUUCAGUAUUGAAGCAGCAAACUUUAGAUGAUGAAGGCCUAACCACAGUUUUCUGUGAAGUUGAGGCAAUUCUCAACAGCCGGCCUAUAACAAAAGUAUCUGAUGACCCACAAGAUUUAGAAGCCCUAACUCCAAAUCACAUACUUCUGUACAGAACUAACCCACUUCUGCCCCCUGGAGUCUUUUCAAGUUCUGACCUUUACCACAGAAGACGCUGGAGACAGGUCCAGUAUAUAGCCGAGCUAUUCUGGAAGAGAUGGCUGCUAGAAUACCUCCCUCUCCUCCAGGAAAGACAAAAGUGGUCAAGAACCAGAAGAAACUUCGUCCCAGGCGACAUUGUACUAAUAGCAGAUAACAACGCUCUUCGCAGCUCCUGGCUACUGGGAAGAGUCUUAGAGGCCAAGCCUGAUGCCAGAGGCCAUGUCCGUGUGGUGAAGCUGCAAACUAGGACGAGUGUACUGGAGAGGCCAGUGUCCAAAAUCUGUUUACUGCUCGAGGGUGAUGACUGUAAGGUAAAACCAUGAACGCCGAAAGAGUUCAAGAUAAGUGAAUUUAUUCACUUUGAGUUUAUAUUUUGAGAUCAUUAUAAGAUUGCCUAAUGAUUGAAAAUACCUAAACUGCGAAUAGAAAUGGCUCCUUUGUAAUGUAAAUAAUUGUCUUUGCCUCUACAAACACAAUUAGGGGCCGGUAUGU